UACGUAGGUGGCAAGCGUUGUCCGGAAUUAUUGGGCGUAAAGCGCGCGCAGGCGGUCCUUUAAGUCUGAUGUGAAAGCCCACGGCUCAACCGUGGAGGGUCAUUGGAAACUGGAGGACUUGAGUGCAGAAGAGGAAAGCGGAAUUCCACGUGUAGCGGUGAAAUGCGUAGAGAUGUGGAGGAACACCAGUGGCGAAGGCGGCUUUCUGGUCUGUAACUGACGCUGAGGCGCGAAAGCGUGGGGAGCGAACAGG
rnacentral:rRNA from 1 species